AGAUAAAAGGCCUAAACUCCGUACAAUCUGCGCAUGCGAAAGAAACGUCAAAGUUGCAAUGUUAUUAAUUAAAAUGUAGGUUAGGUUAUUGUUUUCAUCACAAGCUGGUAUCUGUUAUAAUGAAUAAACAUAUUCGUAAAUCGUAAUGUACAUUUAAACUCACAGACUUUUGACGUUGUUAUGCCAAGAGCCAUGUUUCGCUGCGGCAGUAUAAAAUUCGAAAAGGACAGUAUAAGCCCCAUGUUCACAAAUCGUAACCCAAGACAUUUCAAAUACCUACGAAUCGCUAAUAAACCGGACGGCUACUACGGUGAUAAAACUGGAACGCUCCUACUGGCAUAAAUAUACAAAUUUGCUUUCCUACCGCCUCCAAUAAGACAGCCCGAUUGUAGAUGACAACCGACACAAACAGGCCGUCACGUAACUUCAUUGUUCGUGCAUUACAUCAACGGACCCGACACUCACCGCUAGCACGAAGGAAUGGGCCAUCAAAACCAGGCUGUAUAAGACCAUGCAUCAAGUCGUUGGCGUUUCAGUUCUUCGUACAAAGAUACCUUGCAAGCGGUCCGACAGAGUUUAUGUGCGAUUGCAAACCCGAACACAACGGCAGUAAGGUCACAAAGUUUCUAACGUGCUCCAAGAUUUCAAUUUGAAAUUGUCUGAACCGGAAUAGUCAAGAGAGCCGUGGACGAGAGAAAGAUUACCAAACCCGUGGGAUAUAAUCUGACUUGACAGAUAAUGUGAAUCGAUCUUAAAUUGUGGACCUAUUAGUUUCUGUAAAGAGAAGGCUGAGUAUUGGGUCGCUGCAAUGAAGUGAUAGAAAGCCCUACGUUCAGUCUGUCGAGAUGCUUCCCUGUUUCUAACUCAAAGGUUCUUCCAAAGAAGGUGCUUAUUACUAAUUUCUAGAUUGCAUGAAAAACCGUUUAUUUGAUUUUUUAAGAAGAAGUUAAUGGGUUUCAAGAACAAUAAAUUUGAUAAAUAUGUAAA